UACGUAGGGUGCGAGCGUUGUCCGGAAUUAUUGGGCGUAAAGAGCUCGUAGGCGGUUUGUCGCGUCUGCUGUGAAAACCCGAGGCUCAACCUCGGGCCUGCAGUGGGUACGGGCAGACUAGAGUGCGGUAGGGGAGAUUGGAAUUCCUGGUGUAGCGGUGGAAUGCGCAGAUAUCAGGAGGAACACCAAUGGCGAAGGCAGAUCUCUGGGCCGUAACUGACGCUGGAGGAGCGAAAGCAUGGGGAGCGAACAGG
rnacentral:rRNA from 1 species